rnacentral:rRNA from 1 species
UACAGGGGGUGCAAACGUUGCUCGGAAUCAUUGGGCGUAAAGCGCACGUAGGCGGUUCGUUAUGUCGGAUGUGAAAGCCCUUGGCUUAACCGAGGAAGUGCAUCCGAAACUGGCGAGCUAGAGUACGAAAGAGGAUCGCGGAAUUCCCGGUGUAGAGGUGAAAUGCGCAGAUAUCAGGAGGAACACCGGUGGCGAAGGCGGGUCUCUGGGCCGAUACUGACGCUGAGGAGCGAAAGCGUGGGGAGCGAACAGG